rnacentral:lncRNA from 1 species
GCUGCUAUUACCGCCAUCUGAGUAUUUAUCAGAGUGUAUUUAAGCAAUGCCCUGUAUACAGUAAUUUGAGUCAUUUUCUGUUCUGUGAAGUCAGAAGAAAAGGAGAUCAAGAAAGAAGAUCCAGAAUCAAGGCUACAAACAUUAGAGGACUUAAUGAGCUGGUUGAGACAUAGCAGCUUGUGAAAGGAAAAUAUCUUGGGCCCUCAAAAUCACUAAGGAAAACUCAAGGCAGGAACUGCUUCAUGUGAACCUGCCUCCCAUUCUAUUCAAAGUCACUCCUCUGCUCACUGAGAUAGAUGCGUAUCUGAUUUGCCUCCCUUAGAAAGGCUAAUCAGAAACCCAAAAGAAUGUAACCUUUUGCGUAUCAUCUAUCUGUUGCCUGGAAGCUCCAUCCCUGCUUCUAGUCCUCCUGGCUUUACUUCAAGUUGUCGCGCCUUUCCAGACCGAACUAGUAUACAUCUUGCAUAUUUUGAUUGAUGUCUCAUGUCUCCCUAAAUGUAUAAAAGCAAGCUGUGCCCUGACCACCUUGGGCACAUGUUGUCAAGACUUCCUGAGUCUGUGUCAUGGGUGUGUCCUCAAAGUUGGCAAAAUAAACUUUCCAAAUGAACUGAGACCUGUCUCAAACUUCCAGGGUUCACAAGCUUAUAGUCUACCAUCCUUAUGAUCCUUUAACAGAUGUAAUUUUUUUUACUGUAUAAAUGAAAUAACCAUACAGAUAUGCUGAUAUAAACCAUACAAAAUUAAUAUUAAUGUAAUUGAAUAUUCAUUUCUCAUAAGUUAGGUUACCUUCAAUUGAACAGCUAGAUGAAGAUUGUAUUACCUGUAUGUGUUUUCUAUGUAAAAAGUAGGCAUUUAGAUUAAGAUGGCAUUCUAGACUCACAUGUGAUUCACUUAUCCUUGUUGAGAAACUAACACUGUGUAGAAGUGAAAAAAAAUAGAUCAAAGAAAAAUAAAAUACAGAAUUCAGGAGAGGGUGAGACAAAAAAAAAGAGGUGACGUAAAAUUCUGGAAAGGAGGUGAAGAAGAGGAGUGAGAGGACACAAAUGAAAAUGGAAGCAGAAACUUAUGACAGCAACAAGGGGGAGCCUUCAUACAUCUGGUUUAAUAAAUACAUCAGCAAAGAGGACAUAUGGACACAAUCCAGGACAGCAAAAAUAAAUCAACAUCACAACUUAUUUUAUGAGGCCAGCAUCAUCCUGAUACCAAAGCCUGGCAGAAACACAACAAUAAAAGAGAAUUUUAGACCAAUAUCCCUGAAUAUCGAUGAAAAAAUCCUCAAUAAAAUACUGGCAAACUGAAUCCAGCAGCACAUCAAAAAGCUUAUCCACCAUGAUCAAGUGCGCUUCAUCCCUGGGAUGCAAGGCUAGUUCAACAUAUGCAAAUCACUAAAUGUAAUCCAGUGUAUAAACAGAACCAAAGACAAAAACCACAUGAUUAUCUCAAUAGAUGCAGAAAAGGCCUUUGACAAAAUCCAAUGGCCCUUCGUGCUAAAAACUCUCAAUAAAUUUGGUAUUGAUGGGACGUAUCUAAAAAUAAUAAGAGCUAUUUAUGACAAACCCAUAGUCAAUAUCAUACUGAAUGGGCA